rnacentral:rRNA from 1 species
GUGGGGAAUAUUGGACAAUGGGCGAAAGCCUGAUCCAGCCAUGCCGCGUGUGUGAAGAAGGUCUUCGGAUUGUAAAGCACUUUAAGUUGGGAGGAAGGGCAGUAAGUUAAUACCUUGCUGUUUUGACGUUACCGACAGAAUAAGCACCGGCUAACUUCGUGCCAGCAGCCGCGGUAAUACGAAGGGUGCAAGCGUUAAUCGGAAUUACUGGGCGUAAAGCGCGCGUAGGUGGUGUUGUAAGUUGGAGGUGAAAUCCCCGGGCUCAACCUGGGAACGGCCUCCAAAACUGGAUGACUAGAGUACGGUAGAGGGUAGUGGAAUUUCCUGUGUAGCGGUGAAAUGCGUAGAUAUAGGAAGGAACACCAGUGGCGAAGGCGACUACCUGGACUGAUACUGACACUGAGGUGCGAAAGCGUGGGGAGCAAACAGGAUUAGAUACCCCUGUAGUCC